rnacentral:rRNA from 1 species
UACGUAGGGGGCAAGCGUUGUCCGGAAUCAUUGGGCGUAAAGCGCGUGUAGGCGGCUGGCUAAGUCCGCUCUGAAAGCCCGGGGCUCAACCCCGGGAGGCGGGUGGAUACUGGUCAGCUCGAGUCCGGAAGAGGAGUGUGGAAUUCCUGGUGUAGCGGUGAAGUGCGCAGAUAUCAGGAGGAACACCGGUGGCGAAGGCGGGUCUCUGGGCAGUAACUGACGCUGAGGAGCGAAAGCGUGGGGAGCGAACAGG